CGCAACACACCGCUAUAAACAUCUAGAUUAGUCUAGGCCGCAACUUGCUGUGAAAUGAGGGAAGAUGGGACCCACACCUGCGCUAAGGCCUUGGCCUGCGCAGAGGGCAGAAUUUGUGGUCAUCCUUCAUUGCACGCCCACACAGCAAGGACGUUACCUCCUGGACCGGCCGGUGAUUUUGUUCCGCUGCUUGGAUUUUUUCUGUCUCGCCACUUUUCUUCCAUGAACUUACCUGUGAAGCAAAGUAAGCUGCCUUUGCUCCAUCAUGUCCAUCAAACACUCCAUAGAGAACUCAAGGAAGAAGAGGAUAUGAGAAGAAGAAUAUGAAGAAGAGGAAGAAAUUAGAGUAAUAUCUAUUUACUUACGAAAACCACAAGAUUACA